rnacentral:rRNA from 1 species
UGGCUCAGAUUGAACGCUGGCGGCAUGCUUUACACAUGCAAGUCGAACGGCAGCGGGGGCUUCGGCCUGCCGGCGAGUGGCGAACGGGUGAGUAAUGCAUCGGAACGUGCCCAUGUCGUGGGGGAUAACGUAUCGAAAGGUACGCUAAUACCGCAUACGUCCUGAGGGAGAAAGCGGGGGAUCUUCGGACCUCGCGCGAUUGGAGCGGCCGAUGUCGGAUUAGCUAGUAGGUGAGGUAAAGGCUCACCUAGGCGACGAUCCGUAGCGGGUCUGAGAGGAUGAUCCGCCACACUGGGACUGAGACACGGCCCAGACUCCUACGGGAGGCAGCAGUGGGGAAUUUUGGACAAUGGGCGCAAGCCUGAUCCAGCCAUGCCGCGUGAGUGAAGAAGGCCUUCGGGUUGUAAAGCUCUUUCGGCCGGGAAGAAAUCGUGGUCUCUAACAUAGGCCAUGGAUGACGGUACCGGACUAAGAAGCACCGGCUAACUACGUGCCAGCAGCCGCGGUAAUACGUAGGGUGCGAGCGUUAAUCGGAAUUACUGGGCGUAAAGCGUGCGCAGGCGGUUUUGUAAGACAGAUGUGAAAUCCCCGGGCUCAACCUGGGAACUGCGUUUGUGACUGCAAGGCUAGAGUACGGCAGAGGGGGGUGGAAUUCCUGGUGUAGCAGUGAAAUGCGUAGAGAUCAGGAGGAACACCGAUGGCGAAGGCAGCCCCCUGGGCCUGUACUGACGCUCAUGCACGAAAGCCUGGGGGAGCAACAGGAUUAGAUACCCUGGUAAGUCCACGCCCUAAACGAUGUCGACUAGUCGUUCGGAGCAGCAAUGCACUGAGUGACGCAGCUAACGCGUGAAGUCGACCGCCUGGGGAGUACGGCCGCAAGGUUAAAACUCAAAGGAAUUGACGGGGACCCGCACAAGCGGUGGAUGAUGUGGAUUAAUUCGAUGCAACGCGAAAAACCUUACCUACCCUUGACAUGCCAGGAACCUUGCCGAGAGGCGAGGGUGCCUUCGGGAGCCUGGACACAGGUGCUGCAUGGCUGUCGUCAGCUCGUGUCGUGAAAUGUUGGGUUAAGUCCCGCAACGAGCGCAACCCUUGUCACUAGUUGCCAUCAUUUGGUUGGGCACUCUAGUGAGACUGCCGGUGACAAACCGGAGGAAGGUGGGGAUGACGUCAAGUCCUCAUGGCCCUUAUGGGUAGGGCUUCACACGUCAUACAAUGGUCGGUACAGAGGGUUGCCAAGCCGCGAGGUGGAGCCAAUCCCUUAAAGCCGAUCGUAGUCCGGAUCGUAGUCUGCAACUCGACUACGUGAAGUCGGAAUCGCUAGUAAUCGCAGAUCAGCAUGCUGCGGUGAAUACGUUCCCGGGUCUUGUACACACCGCCCGUCACACCAUGGGAGUGGGUUUCACCAGAAGUAGGUAGCUUAACCUUCGGGAGGGCGCU